AGUGAACGCUGGCGGUAGGCCUAACACAUGCAAGUCGAACGGCAGCACCGGACAGCUUGCUCUCUGGGUGGCGAGUGGCGGACGGGUGAGGCAUACAUCGGAAUCUGCCCAGUCGUGGGGGAUAACGUAGGAAAACUUACGCUACUACCGCAUACGACCUUCUGGUGAAAGAGGGGGAUCGCAAGACCUCUCGCGAUUGUAUGAGCCGAUGUCGUCUUAGCUAGAUGGCGGGGUAAUCUCCCACCAAGGCGACGAUCGGUCCAUGGUCUGAGAGGAUGAUCGGCCACACGGGAAGUUAGACACGGUCAAGACUCCUGCGGGAGGGAGCAGUGGGGAAUAUUGGACAAUGGGCGCAAGCCUGAUCCAGCCAUACCGCGUGGGUGAAGAAGGCCUUCGGGGUGUAAAGACCGUUUGUUGGGAAAGAAAUCUUUCAGGCUAAUACGCUGGGAGGAUGACGGUACCCAAAGAAUAAGCACCGGCUAACUUCGUG
rnacentral:rRNA from 1 species